AUGCAGAGCAGAGCUGGGCAGCACAGACCUGGGAGCCAGCAAGUCCACACAGUCUGGCAUUUACAAGUGAAACAGCUCAGAGGCUGAGAAUGGUGUGGAGGAGAAAAAGAAAGCCUGCAGGUCGCCAACAGCCCAAUCCCCUACCCCAUCUGUGGAGGCGGACUCCCCAGACCAGAAGAAAAUCAUUAGCCUAUGGUCAAAAUCCAGUUUUGAUGGUGCCUCUUUAGCAAGUGAUAAGAACGACUGUAAAACAGAAAGCAAAAAUGACCCUAAGACUGAAAGAAAAAAGUCUUCAUCUUCCAGCCAGUACAAGGCCAAUAUGCACUUUCACAAGUUGUUUCUUAGUGUCCCAACGGAGGAACCACUGAAGCAAAGCUUUACCUGUGCUCUACAGAAAGAAAUACUAUACCAAGGAAAGCUCUUUGUAUCAGAAAACUGGAUUUGUUUUCAUUCCAAAGUCUUUGGAAAAGACACAAAGAUCUCUAUUCCAGCUUUCUCGGUAACCCUAAUAAAGAAAACCAAAACUGCUCUUCUAGUGCCAAACGCCCUGAUCAUAGCAACAGUCACAGA
rnacentral:sRNA from 1 species